GGGAACGAUGGUUUGCGCCACGUAUUCCGUACGUGACUGCCAUUGCUUUUAAUGAUGGUAAGAGCGCUUUAAAGUUUUCGAAAUGAUAGAAAAAACGGUAGGCACAAGUAUUUUAAAAGGCACGGAAAGAAAAACAAUGGGCAGUACACUUAAGAAGCCAAAGCUUCCACUGCCACUGCAUAAAAGCAGAAGGUACUGACACAAAUAAAUGCGGAAACAGCACGACCAUGUAGCUGCCCGCCAACUUGACAAAAGUAGCUCGUUAGAACCACAAUAAUGACACUAGAAUGAUGCAGAGCCACCACCAACUCCAGCAAAUAGCGUAGGAAGGUUGAAAUGAGAAAUAAUUAUGACAAUUUCGCGGAUAAAAAUAUGAAGGAACAUAUAUGCUAUGUAGAUCGAGAAUCUUGCAACAACUUGAAAGCUGAAGAGUGGAACAAUUUUGGAGAAGAGACCACCAAAAAACUGAUCAAUUCCAAACCAAAACGUUGCCUACACGACUACGUCUGUUCAGUCAGUGCAGCGAAGCCUUGUAUGCGGCGGAGCCACGGUCAGAGACGAAGGACAGACCAAGAGAGAAUUGAAGUACAUCGAACGAAAAUUGAAUUUGAUUUUACUCCUGAUGCAAUAUCUUGGUAUUUUAAAUUCUUUGCUAAUGCCCUCUUGGAAAUAUUUUGAUUAAUGGCAGUCGAUAUGCUUUUCGACUCACUGUUUGAAUUUACAUAUUUAUGUACAUGUGUAACUGCAGAUUUUAUUUAUAUUGCUUACUUGAAGAUCGCCAUCGUGAGUGGAUUUGGGGGACUGGGCUUCUUGAUCGAUCAUGUUAGUCUCGACCGAUUCUCCUAUGGCAGAGUUUGUAGGAGGCACAGCUCGAAUAAUAUUCUCAAUGUUUACUGUUUCAUCACCUUGUUGGAUAUGAGCGUGCUGCACACAUUUUGGAUUUAUCAUUAUUAAAAACCUCGCCACCACUUCAGUGCAUCCGUAUAUCUUGAAUGAUUUGUUAUUUCGCUAAAAAAAUAUUUGUGGCCACUACAAUAAGUCUAAGAACAAAUAUCAUUUGCACGUGCCACCUAGUACAUACUUCUUACAUAGUCGUAUGUAUGUAUAUAAUCGUGUGUACUUAAGCGCAUAAGAGAUAUUGUAAAUGUAUGUUUCAUACUGUUAAAGCAUGUACCCAUCUAUCAUAAUAAUAAUAAUUUGCCGAGUGAAUAAUAGUUUUUAAUUGUCGGAAGAACUUCAUUAAAAUUUGUGGUCUACCAAA